GCCUGGCUCAGUUGGUUAGAGCUAAUAACUAAUAACACCAAGGUUCCAGGUUCGAUCCCCGUACGGGACAGCUGCA